GACGGAGGAUGCAAGUGUUAUCCGGAAUCACUGGGCGUAAAGCGUCUGUAGGUGGUUUAAAAAGUCCACUGUUAAAGAUUGAAGCUUAACUUCAAAAAUGCCGUGGGAACUUUUAAACUUGAGUAUGAUAGGGGUAGAGGGAAUUUCCAGUGGAGCGGUGAAAUGCGUAGAUAUUGGAAAGACCACCAAUGGCGAAGGCACUCUACUGGGCCAUUACUGACACUGAGAGACGAAAGCUAGGGGAGCAAAUGGG
rnacentral:rRNA from 1 species